rnacentral:rRNA from 1 species
UACGGAGGGUGCGAGCGUUGUCCGGAAUCAUUGGGCGUAAAGGGCGCGUAGGUGGCCCGGUCAGUUCGUGGUGAAAGCGCGGGGCUCAACCCUGCGUCGGCCAUGAAUACUGCCGCGGCUGGAGCACUGUAGAGGCAGGCGGAAUUCCGGGUGUAGCGGUGGAAUGCGUAGAGAUCCGGAAGAACACCGGUGGCGAAGGCG